GCCAAGUUUUGUAUUUCUGGGGCGUUUAGUUGUGUUGUUAUAGUCAUGAUGCGUUGUUGUGAGUUUUGUGGGUCCGGAUUGUGGUUUUGUGUUGUGGUUGUGUUCUUACAACUGGGAGGCAAGGCUUUUGCGUUGUGUUGUCAAAUUUUGUAUUUAAUAGAGCUGUUGUAUCUUUGCAAUAUCCUUAAAUCAUGGUCACGUGAAGCUGUCUUACACAGAGGCAGUUGGGUUGAUUCAGCCCAGUAUUACCUACACUGACUGCUCUCAGCAACUCCAUAUUAAAGAUUGAGGUCUCCCAUAUUAAAUGGGGGUGCCAAAGGAUUGAACUUCUGCCAUAUCUACAUGGCAAACAAGCACUUUACUACUCUACUAUUAUUCUCAGUUUUGAUCUCCCACUUCAGAUAUAGCCAAAGUAAAGCAAAGCCGUAAUUAUUAUUUGUUUCUAUGGAAUGGACUCUCAGUUUUAUGCCGGUUGAUUGAAAAAGCUUAUACCAUGAUAAAUAUGGUACAGUAGAGUCUCACUUAUCCAAGCUUCACUUAUCCAAAGCAGUCUGCCUUUUAGUAGUCAUUGUUUUUGUAUUAAAUGUUACAAUGUUUUGGUGCUAAAUUCAUAAAUACAGUAAUUACUACAUAACAUUACUGUGUAUUGAACUGCUUUUUCUGUCAUUUUUUUGUAAAACACAAUGUUUUGGUGCUUAAUUUGUAAAAUCAUAAUGUAAUUUUAUGUUUAAUAGGCUUUUUUCUUAAUCUCUCCUUAUUAUCCAAGAUUUUUGCUUAUUCAAGGUUCUGCUGGCCUGUUUAUCUUGGAUAAGUGAGACUCUACUGUAGUUGUUAAAUUAUCAUAGGCGUUUUGUUUGCUGGAACAGACCACAGACUACACUGCUGCCACAACAGAGGGGUGAAUCUACUGUGGAUUUUACUGCUGUUCCUUCCACAAUAGUUUUGUGUUGAAUGAUGGCUAUUCCACUGCUGACUGUAGUCCAACACUGGCAGAACAUUAUAGGCUGGACCAGGGCCGUAGCCAGAAAAAAAUUUCGGGAGGGGUUUUGAAAAUUUUUGGGGGGGGGGUCGAACCCCUAGCACAUACCCCUCCCCACUACAAACCUGUCAAUAUCUGCUUGAGAUAGUGCCUGGAGGGACUCUUAAUGUUUUGCAUCUCAUAGACUUAGCAUGGGGAUUUGGUUAACCAGUUAAAAUUCAUGAGUAAACGAGAUUUUUUUUAUAACUUGAAAAAUUUCGGGGGGGGGGGGUUGAACCCCUAACCCCCCCCCCCCCCUCGCUACAGGCCUGGGCUGGACAUAAUAUUUUGUAUAGUUUGAAAUGAAUGAU
rnacentral:lncRNA from 1 species